rnacentral:rRNA from 1 species
UACGUAGGGGGCAAGCGUUGUCCGGAUUUAUUGGGCGUAAAGAGCUCGUAGGCGGCUCAGUAAGUCAGGUGUGAAACCUCCAGGCUCAACCUGGAGACGCCACCUGAUACUGCUGUGGCUAGAGUCCGGUAGGGGAGCGUGGAAUUCCUGGUGUAGCGGUGAAAUGCGUAGAUAUUGGGAGGAACACCAGUGGCGAAGGCGGCUCACUGGACCGGUUCUGACGCUGAGGCGCGAAAGCGUGGGGAGCAAACGGG